rnacentral:rRNA from 1 species
AUUGAACGCUGGCGGCAGGCCUAACACAUGCAAGUCGAGCGAGCGGCGGACGGGUGAGUAAAGCGUGGGAAACCGCCUGAUGGAGGGGGAUAACUACUGGAAACGGCAGCUAAUACUGCAUAUCCUCAGCUGUGCCCCGAUGGGAUUAGCUAGUGGGUGGGGUAGCGGCUCACCUAGGCGACGAUCCCUAGCUGGACUGCGCGGUUGACCAGCAACACUGGAACUGAGACACGGUCCGGACUCCUACGGGAGGCAGCAGUGGGGAAUAUUGCACAAUGGGCGCAAGCCUGAUGCAGCCAUGCCGCGUGUGUGAAGAAGGCCUUCGGGUUGUAAAGCACUUUCAGCGGGGAGGCGUUACCCGCAGAGAAAGCACCGGCUAACUCCGUGCCAGCAGCCGCGGUAAUAC